rnacentral:rRNA from 1 species
CCUUGUACACACCGCCCGUCGCACCAUGGGAGCGGGUUCUGCCAGAAGUAGUUAGCCUAACCGCAAGGAGGGCGAUUACCACGGCAGGGUUCGUGACUGGGGUG